rnacentral:lncRNA from 1 species
AGAUGUUGCCCUUUUAUGUAAUUAUGUAAUACAAGUUACGAUCAUUUGAAAACACAUAUUAAACAGCCAAAUGGAUGCACAAGAGCUAAAAUAGAAGUCAUAGAUCCUAUUGACAACAAUUAUCUGCCCAAUUUUAUUGAUUUUGUAACAUUUGUUUCAAAUAUGACCAACUUCUUAUCCAAAAUCACCAGCACCGUAUCAGGACCCACCAGCACAAUGACAGGACCC